rnacentral:misc_RNA from 1 species
CCUCCUUUCUAAGGAAAGUGUAAGAUCAAUUGCCGCCGUCUUUGUAUCUCUUCUUCUCGAACAUAUAAUUUAUAGAUUUGCUACAGCUAGAGGCGCGUAGCUCAGUUGGUUAGAGCGCACGACUGAUAAUCGUGAGGUCGGCAGUUCAAAUCUGCCCGUGCCUACCAAUAUCUAUAAUAAUGUUAAUGUAUUUAUAAAUUUAAACAGUUUUGUCUUUGUUAGACAGUUUGUUUGAUAUAGUUGGUGAAGAUGAUUCCAAAUAAUAGGGUAAUAUUAAUUGAUAUUAUCCAGCUUACGGAUUGUAUUUUUAAAAUUUUUUCAAGAUUAAAUUUUAAAGAGUGGUAAUGGUUGUCUGACCGGUUACUACUUUCAUGUACGGUCCGAUCAAGCGUCUUGAAGAGCAUUUGGUGGAUGCCUUGGUACAGAGAGGCGAUGAAGGACGUGACACGCUGCGAUAAGCUGUGGGGAGCCGUGAGUAGGCUUUGAUCCGCAGAUUUCC